rnacentral:rRNA from 1 species
AACGAACGCUGGCGGCGUGCCUAACACAUGCAAGUCGUGCGAGAAAGUUCCUUCGGGAGCGAGUAAAGCGGCGCACGGGUGAGUAACACGUAGGUAACCUGCCCCCCAGUCUGGAACAACUAGAGGAAACUACUAGCUAAUGCCGGAUGAGACCACGAUCCCUUCGGGGGUUGGCGGCCAAAGAUGGCCUCUACUUGUAAGCUAUCGCUGAGGGAUGGGCCGUGCGGGCCAUUAGCUUGUUGGUGAGGUAACGGCUCACCAAGGCUGUGAUGGCUAGCUGGUCUGAGAGGAUGACCAGCCACACUGGGACUGAGACACGGCCCAGACUCCUACGGGAGGCAGCAGUGGGGAAUAUUGCGCAAUGGGCGAAAGCCUGACGCAGCGACGCCGCGUGGGUGAUGAAGGCCUUGGUCGUAAGACCUCGUCGCAGGGGAAGGAAUAAGACAUCGGUAUAAUACGCCGGUGCCUCGACGGUACCCUGCAAGAAAGACACCGGCUAACUACGUG